UGGGGAAUAUUGGACAAUGGGCGCAAGCCUGAUCCAGCCAUGCCGCGUGAGUGAUGAAGGCCCUAGGGUUGUAAAGCUCUUUCACCGGUGAAGAUAAUGACGGUAACCGGAGAAGAAGCCCCGGCUAACUUCGUGCCAGCAGCCGCGGUAAUACGAAGGGGGCUAGCGUUGUUCGGAUUUACUGGGCGUAAAGCGCACGUAGGCGGACUAUUAAGUCAGGGGUGAAAUCCCGGGGCUCAACCCCGGAACUGCCUUUGAUACUGGUAGUCUUGAGUUCGAGAGAGGUGGGUGGAAUUCCGAGUGUAGAGGUGAAAUUCGUAGAUAUUCGGAGGAACACCAGUGGCGAAGGCGGCUCACUGGCUCGAUACUGACGCUGGGGUGCGAAAGCGUGGGGAGCAAACAGG
rnacentral:rRNA from 1 species